GGGCCCGCACAAGCGGUGGAUUAUGUGGAUUAAUUCGAUGCAACGCGAAAAACCUUACCUGGCCUUGACAUGUACCGAAUUUAGCAGAGAUGCUUUAGUGCUCGAAAGAGAACGGUAACACAGGUGCUGCAUGGCUGUCGUCAGCUCGUGUCGUGAGAUGUUGGUUAAGUCCCGCAACGAGCGCAACCCUUGCCAUUAAUUGCCAUCAUUUAGUUGGGCACUUUAAUGGGACUGCCGGUGACAAACCGGAGGAAGGUGGGGAUGACGUCAAGUCCUCAUGGCCCUUAUGGCCAGGGCUUCACACGUAAUACAAUGGUCGGUACAGAGGGAAGCCAACCCGCGAGGGGGAG
rnacentral:rRNA from 1 species